rnacentral:rRNA from 1 species
UACGGAGGAUGCGAGCGUUAUCCGGAUUUAUUGGGUUUAAAGGGUGCGCAGGCGGCACGGCAAGCCGGCGGUCAAAUCGCGGGGCUCAACCCCGCCCAGCCGUCGGAACUGCCGGGCUAGAGUGGGCGAGAAGUGCGCGGAAUGCGUGGUGUAGCGGUGAAAUGCAUAGAUAUCACGCAGAACUCCGAUUGCGAAGGCAGCAUACCGGCGCCCUACUGACGCUGAGGCACGAAAGCGUGGGUAUCGAGCAGG